AAGUAAAGAGAAUUUCAGACCAAUGAGGAAAUUGAAGAGGAAGAUUGUUCGGUAGCAAUUCGGGCCAAGCUUUUGAAAUCGUUGCAACAAUUUCGUUGAAUAACAAACUAUACCCCAAAGACGAAAAGUGAAGACCAUCCGUGAAUAGCAACUCGGGCGUGGGAUAGGAUUUCGUAAUUUCAUAAAGAUUGAUAAGACCUG